rnacentral:rRNA from 1 species
CCUACGGGAGGCAGCAGUGAGGAAUAUUUGUCAAUGGCCGCAAGCCUGAACCAGCAAAGCCGCGUGAAGGAAGAAGGCUUUCGGGUUGUAAACUUCUUUUGACAGGGGAGAACAGGAGACGGUGCCUGUAGAAUAAGCCAUGGCUAACUACGUGCCAGCAGCCGCGGUAAUACGUAGGUGGCAGGCGUUAUCCGGAUUUAAUGCGUUUAAAGGGUGUGUAGAGGGGUUUAUAAGUCAGGUGUGAAAUUCUGGUGCUCAACCCACGAACUGCAUUUGAAAAUGGUGGUCUUGAGUAUCAGUGAGGGAGGCGGAAUUCCUAGUGUAGCGGUGAAAUGCGUAGAUAGUAGGAGGAACACCAGUUGCGAAGGCGGCCUGCUGGACGACAACUGACGGUGAGGCACGAAAGCGUGGGGAUCAAACAGGAUUAGAUACCCCUGUAGUC